rnacentral:tRNA from 1 species
GUGUAUAUAUUAUAAAUAGAUUAUAUUUGACUUGCAUUCAUAAGAUACUUAUACACG